CACAUGCAAGUCGAGCGGUAACAGAAAGUAGCUUGCUACUUUGCUGACGAGCGGCGGACGGGUGAGUAAUGCUUGGGAACAUGCCUUGAGGUGGGGGACAACAGUUGGAAACGACUGCUAAUACCGCAUAAUGUCUACGGACCAAAGGGGGCUUCGGCUCUCGCCUUUAGAUUGGCCCAAGUGGGAUUAGCUAGUUGGUGAGGUAAUGGCUCACCAAGGCGACGAUCCCUAGCUGGUUUGAGAGGAUGAUCAGCCACACUGGGACUGAGACACGGCCCAGACUCCUACGGGAGGCAGCAGUGGGGAAUAUUGCACAAUGGGCGCAAGCCUGAUGCAGCCAUGCCGCGUGUGUGAAGAAGGCCUUCGGGUUGUAAAGCACUUUCAGUCAGGAGGAAAGGUUAGUAGUUAAUACCUGCUAGCUGUGACGUUACUGACAGAAGAAGCACCGGCUAACUCCGUGCCAGCAGCCGCGGUAAUACGGAGGGUGCGAGCGUUAAUCGGAAUUACUGGGCGUAAAGCGUACGCAGGCGGUUUGUUAAGCGAGAUGUGAAAGCCCCGGGCUCAACCUGGGAACUGCAUUUCGAACUGGCAAACUAGAGUGUGAUAGAGGGUGGUAGAAUUUCAGGUGUAGCGGUGAAAUGCGUAGAGAUCUGAAGGAAUACCGAUGGCGAAGGCAGCCACCUGGGUCAACACUGACGCUCAUGUACGAAAGCGUGGGGAGCAAACGGGAUGAGAUACCCCGGUAGUCCACGCCGUAAACGAUGUCUACUAGAAGCUCGGAGCCUCGGUUCUGUUUUUCAAAGCUAACGCAUUAAGUAGACCGCCUGGGGAGUACGGCCG
rnacentral:rRNA from 1 species